UACGUAGGCAGCAAGCGUUGUUCGGAGUUACUGGGCGUAAAGGGUGUGUAGGCGGUUCUUUAAGUUUGGUGUGAAACUCUCCCGGCUCAACUGGGAGGGUGCGCCGAAUACUGAGGGACUAGAGUACGGGAGAGGAAAGUGGAAUUCCGGGUGUAGUGGUGAAAUGCGUAGAGAUCCGGAGGAACACCAGUGGCGAAGGCGACACGCUGGGCCGUACCUGACACUGAUACGCGGACAGCAUGGGGAGCGAACGGG
rnacentral:rRNA from 1 species